UAGGGAAUCUUCGGCAAUGGACGGAAGUCUGACCGAGCAACGCCGCGUGAGUGAAGAAGGUUUUCGGAUCGUAAAGAUCGGUUGUUAGAGAAGAACGUUGGUAGGAGUGGAAAAUCUACCAAGUGACGGUAACUAACCAGAAAGGGACGGCUAACUACGUGCCAGCAGCCGCGGUAAUACGUAGGUCCCGAGCGUUGUCCGGAUUGAUUGGGCGUAAAGCGAGCGCAGGCGGGUCUUUAAGUCUGAAGUUAAAGGCAGUGGCUUAACCAUUGUACGCUUUGGAAACUGGAGGACUUGGGUGCAGAAGGAGAGAGUGGAAUUCCAUGUGUAGCGGUGACAUGCGUAGAUAUAUGGAGGAACACCGGUGGCGAAAGCGGCUCUCUGGUCUGUAACUGCCGCUGAGGCUCGAAAGCGUGGGGAGCAAACAGG
rnacentral:rRNA from 1 species